rnacentral:rRNA from 1 species
UGGUGGAGUGAUUUGUCUGGUUAAUUCCGUUAACGAACGAGACCUUAGCCUGCUAACUAGUCGAUUCAAUCCCGAUUGGCUUCGACUUCUUAGAGGGACUUUGUGAUCAAACACAAGGAAGUUUGAGGCAAUAACA